rnacentral:tRNA from 1 species
GGUUGUGGCUCAGUGGAAGAGUGCUCGCCUAGCAUGUGUGAGGCACUGGGUUCAAUCCUCAACACCA